rnacentral:rRNA from 1 species
UACGUAGGGGGGCAAGCGUUGUCCGGAAUCAUUGGGCGUAAAGAGCGUGUAGGCGGCCCGGUAAGUCCGCUGUGAAAGUCCAGGGCUCAACCCUGGGAUGCCGGUGGAUACUGUCGGGCUCGAGUCCGGAAGAGGCGAGUGGAAUUCCUGGUGUAGCGGUGAAAUGCGCAGAUAUCAGGAGGAACACCAAUGGCGAAGGCAGCUGCUGGAACGGUACUGACGCUGAGGCGCGAAAGCGUGGGGAGCAAACAGG